rnacentral:rRNA from 1 species
UGAGUAACCUGCCCCAGACUCUGGGAUAAGCACUGGAAACGGUGUCUAAUACCGGAUAUGAGCUUCAGCCGCAUGGCUAGGAGUUGGAAAGUAAUUUCGGUUUGGGAUGGACUCGCGGCCUAUCAGCUUGUUGGUGAGGUAAUGGCUCGCCAAGGCGACGACGGGUAGCCGGCCUGGAGAGGGUGACCCGGCCACACGUGGGACUGAGACGACGGCCCAGACCUCCGUACGGGAGNAG